ensembl:lncRNA
GGGUCCAAGCCAACAGGUUGGAUCCCUAUUGUUUUUGUAAGGAUUUUUAGGGGUCCAAGCCAACAGGUUGGAUCCCUAUUGUUUUUGUAAGGAUUAUUAUUAUUAUACUUCCCAUCUAGAAGUGGUACCACAGCCCAAACAGUAAAUGGUGCGCACGCGCCAAUUGCAUCACUAGAUCCAGGUCCGUGAAUACUACGCAGACGACCAAAUCCAGACACGCCGGCCACUAGGUGGCGCUAUACCAAGGAAAGACGCGUUUGGGGCUAUAACUCCCACACCGAACCUCCCACAGUCAAAAACUUGUACCCACUUAUUCACUGGAGUCUGCUGCAUCUUUUGGCAUAGGCCACGCCCAUUUGCGUCUGGAAUUUUUUUUCGCAAAAUCGCGAAAACCGCAAAAGUGUUUUUUCCAUACUCCUCCCACAUUUC